GACGAACGCUGGCGGUGUGCUUAACACAUGCAAGUCGAACGGUAAGGCCCUUUCGGGGGUACACGAGUGGCGGACGGGUGAGUAACACGUGAGUAACCUGCCCUCAUCUCUGGGAUAACAGUCGGAAACGGUUGCUAAUACUGGAUAUGAGCUUGCAAGGCAUCUUGUGGGUUGGAAAGAUUUUUUUUGGUUGGGGAUGGACUCGCGGCCUAUCAGCUUGUUGGUGAGGUAGUGGCUCACCAAGGCUUCGACGGGUAGCCGGCCUGAGAGGGCGACCGGCCACAUUGGGACUGAGAUACGACCCAAACUCCUACGGGAGGCAGCAGUGGGGAAUAUUGCACAAUGGACGGAAGUCUGAUGCAGCAACGCCGCGUGCGGGAUGACGGCCUUCGGGUUGUAAACCGCUUUCAAUUGUGACGAAGCUUUUUUGUGACGGUAGCAGUAGAAGAAGCACCGGCUAACUACGUG
rnacentral:rRNA from 1 species